rnacentral:rRNA from 1 species
AUUGAACGCUGGCGGCAGGCUUAACACAUGCAAGUCGAGCGGAGAUGAGGUGCUUGCACCUUAUCUUAGCGGCGGACGGGUGAGUAAUGCUUAGGAAUCUGCCUAUUAGUGGGGGACAACAUUCCGAAAGGAAUGCUAAUACCGCAUACGUCCUACGGGAGAAAGCAGGGGAUCUUCGGACCUUGCGCUAAUAGAUGAGCCUAAGUCGGAUUAGCUAGUUGGUGGGGUAAAGGCCUACCAAGGCGACGAUCUGUAGCGGGGCUGAGAGGAUGCUCCGCCACACUGGGACUGAGACACGGCCCAGACUCCUACGGGAGGCAGCAGUGGGAAUGUUGGAAAAUGGGGGGAACCCUGAUCCAGCCAUGCCGCGUGUGUGAAGAAGGCCUUAUGGUUGUAAAGCACUUUAAGCGAGGAGGAGGCUACUGAGACUAAUACUCUUGGAUAGUGGACGUUACUCGCAGAAUAAGCACCGGCUAACUCUGUGCCAGCAGCCGCGGUAA